AUGAACGCUAGCUACAGGCUUAACACAUGCAAGUCGAGGGGCAGCAUUUUAGUUUGCUUGCAAACUAAAGAUGGCGACCGGCGCACGGGUGAGUAACACGUAUCCAACCUGCCGAUAACUCGGGGAUAGCCUUUCGAAAGAAAGAUUAAUAUCCGAUAGUAUAUUAAAACCGCAUGGUUUUACUAUUAAAGAAUUUCGGUUAUCGAUGGGGAUGCGUUCCAUUAGUUUGUUGGCGGGGUAACGGCCCACCAAGACUACGAUGGAUAGGGGUUCUGAGAGGAAGGUCCCCCACAUUGGAACUGAGACACGGUCCAAACUCCUACGGGAGGCAGCAGUGAGGAAUAUUGGUCAAUGGACGAGAGUCUGAACCAGCCAAGUAGCGUGAAGGAUGACUGCCCUAUGGGUUGUAAACUUCUUUUAUAUGGGAAUAAAGUAUUCCACGUGUGGGAUUUUGUAUGUACCAUAUGAAUAAGGAUCGGCUAACUCCGUGCCAGCAGCCGCGGUAAUACGGAGGAUCCGAGCGUUAUCCGGAUUUAUUGGGUUUAAAGGGAGCGUAGGUGGAUUGUUAAGUCAGUUGUGAAAGUUUGCGGCUCAACCGUAAAAUUGCAGUUGAAACUGGCAGUCUUGAGUACAGUAGAGGUGGGCGGAAUUCGUGGUGUAGCGGUGAAAUGCUUAGAUAUCACGAAGAACUCCGAUUGCGAAGGCAGCUCACUAGACUGCAACUGACACUGAUGCUCGAAAGUGUGGGUAUCAAACAGGAUUAGAUACCCUGGUAGUCCACACCGUAAACGAUGGAUACUAGGUGUAGGGGAUAUUAAGUCUUCUGUGCCGUCGCAAACGCAGUAAGUAUCCCACCUGGGGAGUACGGCCGCAAGGUUGAAACUCAAAGGAAUUGACGGGGGCCCGCACAAGCGGAGGAACAUGGGGUUUAAUUCGAUGAUACGCGAGGAACCUUACCCGGGCUUAAAUUGCAUUUGAAUAAUCUGGAAACAGGUUAGCCGCAAGGCAAAUGUGAAGGUGCUGCAUGGUUGUCGUCAGCUCGUGUCGUGAGAUGUUGGGUUAAGUCCCGCAACGAGCGCAACCCCUGUUUCUAGUUGCCAGCACGUAAAGGUGGGAACUCUAGAGAGACUGCCGGUGAUAAAUCGGAGGAAGGUGGGGACGACGUCAAAUCAUCAUGCCCUUUAUGUCUUGGGCUGCACACGUACUACAAUGGCUAUAACAAAGAGAAGCGAGACAGUGAUGUGGAGCAAAACUCAAAAAAAUAGUCUCAGUUCGGAUUGAAGGCUGAAAUUCGCCUUCAUGAAGCUGGAAUUGCUAGUAAUGGCAGGUCAGCAUACUGCCGUGAAUACGUUCCCGGGCCUUGUACACACCGCCCGUCACACCAUGAGAGUCGGGAAUACCCGAAGCCUGUGAGCCAACAUAUUUAUAUGAGGCAGCAGUCGAAGGUAGAAUCGAUGAUUGGGGUG
rnacentral:rRNA from 1 species